rnacentral:rRNA from 1 species
GAUGAACGCUGGCGGCGUGCCUAAUACAUGCAAGUCGAGCGAACGGACGAGAAGCUUGCUUCUCUGAUGUUAGCGGCGGACGGGUGAGUAACACGUGGAUAACCUACCUAUAAGACUGGGAUAACUUCGGGAAACCGUAUCUAAUACCGGAUAAUAUUUUGAACCGCAUGGUUCAAAAGUGAAAGACGGUCUUGCUGUCACUUAUAGAUGGAUCCGCGCUGCAUUAGCUAGUUGGUAAGGUAACGGCUUACCAAGGCGACGAUGCAUAGCCGACCUGAGAGGGUGAUCGGUCACACUGGAACUGAGACACGGUCCAGACUCCUACGGGAGGCAGCAGUAGGGAAUCUUCCGCAAUGGGCGAAAGCCUGACGGAGCAACGCCGCGUGAGUGAUGAAGGUCUUCGGAUCGUAAAACUCUGUUAUUAGGGAAGAACAUAUGUGUAAGUAACUGUGCACAUCUUGACGGUACCUAAUCAGAAAGCCACGGCUAACUACGUG